UGGCCUCCGGCCGCACAGACUGCGGGACGCGGGUCCGCUCGCCGGAGGCCGUACAGGCCUUAGCCGAUAGCGCCCUCUCGCGGCCAGAGCGGAAGGCGGCAGUCACAGUCACCAGGGGCGGCCAGGACAGGCGGAAGCCAUUGGACAUAACCUCCGAGGCACGAAGCUGCUGUGGCUGCAUGGCAUCUAAGAACGGGACAGUGCUGGGGUCAGGGAACAGAAGUGGUCUUCUCUGUGUCACCGAGUGGGGCUCUCACUGAUCUGGAGAGGACCCGAAGAUUGGAGCCCUGGUUCAUCUGGGCCUCUUGGCCCAGGAGCUACCAGGUGAUGUCCCUGAGGAAUCUCUUGAGGCAGACCUUUCACCCUUUGCAACCAACAGACCAACCCCUUCCUGUUUAGUGUAGAUGAUUAAUCCAUAGUAAGAGACUUGCCGGUGAUACUGAUCAGUACUCAAGGUACCUACCGAUGAGACCUUCCAUCCCUAAGUCUCAAGUAGACAGGGGCUCUCAGGGUGCUUGAAUUCUAAUCCUGGCUUUGAGGCUUCCCCCUCAUUGUGGGACCAUUCCAAUCUUCUUACCUCCUUUCUACUGAGGGACCUUUCAAAGGCUGUGAUAAUGUGUCGUCUAUAUUCUUCACCUCUCUCUCUAAGACAGCCUUAGAAGUGGGGCUAUACAAAGAAGCAACUUUCCUUCAACAAGGACCCAGCUUGACUACAAGCUGGAGGAGCAGCAGGUUUUCUCUGAUGACUGACCAGUGAGGACACUGUCUUUAGAAGAGACAAGAUCAUAUAAGAAACUUCUUACAGAAUGGAAAGCCCCGCCUUUCCAGCACUCUCACCCGAAUUCUUGGAGGAAAAGACAUGAGGGGAAGCCAGGCAGUCAGAAGCUAUUCUGUGUGACCAUGGUGACCUAUUGCUUUCCUAUACACUACCCAAAUGGGGUCCCAGGGCUACGCCCAGGUCAGACCUCAGCAGGACCAGAGACCCACUGAUGAUCCAGAGCUGGCUCCUGCAGUCAAAGCCAAACCCAGACUAAAGGACACUGAGCCCUUCAAGAGGGCUGCAAGACUGAUGCCCUCCUAAGACGCUUUCCUGUGGAGUAACUAUAGUGUUCAGGGUGGAGGCACACAUGGGGGGGGGGGUUGUCUGGCAGGAUGUCCCCUCCCUUCCCACUCUUGGCAAGAGGAUGCUCAGCAGGGAGGACGGAUGGGACUCAAUGGUUUUCCUUCCUCCAUUUCUGGCAGGUGAGACACUGUGGGGCCUUGAGGACUGUGCCUGAGUUUGGCUUUGCCUAAAAAAGGAAGCAAUGCGGCUGAGCCUGAGAAGCUUGCUGCAGGAACAAGUAAGAGCUAUGUACUGCUGCCCGUCCCCCACCCCCUUGCCGGGAAUCUUGGCAGUGGGUGUUGGCUUCACUCCACAGACCUCAGGCCUCUGAAUGGACUAGAAAGUGCUUGAUGCUUCUGCCUGAGUCUUGAGGAUGGGAACAGUGUGUGUGAGUCCCUCAAAGAGUGUGCCUCCCUCCAGCUCCCAAUACACAAGGUUGUUGUGGAGAUGGCAUUGGGAACAAGCAGACGACAGGGGGCAGGGGUCUGGAGGUGGAAGGUGUCCAGCAGAACCAUUUUAUCUCAGGCUUGCACUGCCAGGGAGCUAGGUCUUGUAGGAAGCAGAGGUUCGUAGCCCUCAGGCCUAUAGUCACACCUCAGCCUGCCCUCUUUCCAUCCCUUCUGGAAAAAGUGAGCAGAUCUUCUUGGCUGUGACUCAGGCCCUUGAGGAAGCAGCUGCCCUCCUUCCUCUGGCCUCAUCAUCAGACAGAGAGGGCACAAGAGACCCAGUCUUCACCCAGCCCUGUCCAAUUUGGGCUACCUGCCUGAAUUGAGCUCAGGCCGAAUUGCUCCUGCUGCCAAAUUCCUUGGGACACCCUUCCCAUCAUCCUACCCCCUGAUCAGCCACCAGAAAAAUCUUAUCCUUUUGUCUUGUAGUGCUUCCCACUUCCAAAAGACACCCAGACGUCCUAGGGGGAUGGACACCAAAAGAAGAACAAACAGAAUAGUCCAGAAGCCUUUUCUCUAAAGGGAGAUAGGUUUAGGGAAGGAGAAAGGGCAGAAAUGUGGUCAUAGGCAAAGAUAGCCCAGGCCAGGGUGACCUUGACCCCUCAGUCUUCAGUCUCCAGGAACUGCCCCUGACUGUUCCAGUCAACCUAGGAGCCCCAAAGGAAAGACAGCCCUUGAUGCUAAGUCUAUCCUGCCACAAUGGCUUUGGCUCAGAACAGGGAGUCACUGUGUCUUACUUCCUGGAGCAGCUGGCCUGCCCUGUCUGUCUGCAGGCAGGUGGAGGGGUUUCCUGAAACCUAGAGGCACUGCUCUUAGCAGAGUGCCCCUGCUUUCAACCAAGGACCCUAGGGAAUGUUCCUUUCCUCCCACAGUCAGGCUUCUGCGGAGAAGAAGGGCCUUUUGUCCACAGAUGGCUGUGGUCAUGUUCAACCCCGGGGAAAGGGCAGCUCCUGGGGCCUCUGACCUGACCCUUGACCCCACACAAGGACAGAGACGCCUGCCCUGCCCCUGCCUCUCCACCCGAACUGAGCUGCUGCAGUUUGUCAUGUUGUUGUUGUUCACGGAGGAACACUGCUGGCUUGCUCACUGACUCAUGCUUAGCUGGCUUCCUUAUAGCCUCGGAUCACUUGCUCAGGUAAUGGUACAGCCCAUAGUGCAUAGUGCUCUGGGUCCUCCUACAACAAUUAACACACACACACACACACACACACACACACACACACACACACACACACACAAAUCCCCCACAGACCAAUUUGAUCUGAGGAUCCCUCUAUUGAAAUUUCCUUUUCAGAUGAUUCUGGGCUGUAUCAAGUUAGAGCUAACUAGGAUGAGUGCCAAGGGCGAAACUUCUCCCACUUCCACCAGGCUGAAAUGCUCUGAAAUGUCAUUUUUCUUUCUUUCUUUUUUUUGUGGGAUUUUUCGAGACAGGGUUUCUUUGUGUAGCCCUGGCUGUCCUGGAACUGGCUUUGUAGACCAGGCUGGCCUUGAACUCAGAGACCCACCUGCCUCUGCCUCCCAAGUGCUGGGGUUAAAGGCGUGCUCCACCAUUGUCCCACUUGUCAUGUAAUUUGUAUCUAACAUGAAAACCCAAGCACACAUCGGAACACAGAAAAAAGAAAUGGUGGGAGCAGCUGUUGGAGGUCUGGGGCAGUGGAAUAGGGUGAGCCUGGACCCUAUGACCCAUCUCACAGCAGCAGUCAAGGAGCAGCCAAGAAGGACUCUCAGCUCCUUCCUGCUAUCUAUUAUACUUUCUUCUAGACCAGCUUUGGUAGGUCAAGUUCCAGAGCCUGAGGAUUUGGUCUGAAGAUCUAGGGUCCUUUUUCACCCUCAGGGACCAGGGCUGACCCCAAUCUGCUUUCCUUGCAGCUAGAGUGGCAGGGAAGACAAACGGCUUGGUGAGUAGCCUGAGCAUAGGAUGAAUUCAACCACCCCCUUUAUUUACCCAGUCCAUCACCCCAGUCUCUGUACUGAGGACACAAGGCACUGGGCCAAACCCUGUCCUCCCAGUACUGCCAAAUGAGGACUGAGCAGGAAAGCUCCGUGCUAGCAGAGAUGCUAGGUGUUAUGAUUCAAAUCUGAAAUGAUCCUCAGACUCAUGCUUUCAACACUCGUUCCCUAGUUAGUGGUAUUUUGUUGGGAGUCCAUGAAACUUUAGGAGUCUGUGAGCCUUCAGGAGGGUGUGCCUAACUAAGGACAGGUUUUUGAGGGUUAAAGGCCAGCUACUGGCUCAUGUUGCUGCUCGCUGCUUCCUUGUCUGCUGUGAUUUGAAGAACCUUCCAUUGUUAUGGUCUGAGCUGCUCUACCAAGCCUUCCCCACCAAGAAACAUCUUGAGACCUUGAGCUAAGGCAAAUCUUAAGUUGUUCCUAUCAGCUGUACUAUUGUGGUCACAGCUACACAAAAGUAACUAAUACACAGGGCUACUUGUUUUCCCUGAAAAAGGUGUAAUUGUGUGAGAUCAGGGAAUCAAUGGGGACCCUGUGGCAGGAGCUACAAGAAGGAUAAACUUAACAAGCAGAGGCAACAGCAUGUGCCAAGACCUGGAUGGCUGUGGGGAAGAGUACAUGUCCGUGGCAGGAUGCUCAGGCUAGGACAAAGGAAGCAAGUCAGGCUAUGUGGCCUUCAGACCAUGGGGAGGAUGAUGGGAUUCUGAGUAUUAGGAGAAGAUUGGAGGGUGUAGGGGUGAGGCAAGGACAGCUGACUCCAUGCUUCUAGAAAAACAGCCAUCAGAGAUAGACAUAUGCCAUUAGCUGAACAGUAAUGCUCCAUCUUGACAUGAGACCCUUGACAGCUUUGGGUCCUGGCUGGAAUGCUUCUGUAAGAAGUCACCCAAGGUUCCUGCCCCAUCCCAAGGAAGGUCCAAGUAGUCUUGAAAGGGAGUCUUCCAGCAGUGUGGACCUAAGAGAAGCAGGAGGAGUAGCCUCAGCUCUCAGGGCCAGCACCAGCUCUGCCUGUUCCUAUUUGGCAACCUCCAACUCCCGGCUCAGUUCCUGCCUCUACCAAAGCCAACCCACAUGCCUGGGAGGAGAGCAAGGCUAGAGCUUAAGCCCAGACCUGAAGCUGGAUGGACAAAACUGGCUAAACCCAGGGCCCCUCUUGGCUGGCACUGUCUGAGGGUGUGUCUGCAAAUACUUUGUGAAUGAAUACAUAGUUUAAGUAAAGUGGGAAUCUCACUGAGCCCAGUCUCUUCACCUGUGGUGAUGCCCCCACCCAAAGCAUAAGAGGAGUAUAGACAGGACACAGCCAUACAUGUGUGCAUACCCUAACCAGGCUCCCUUUUAUAAGGCAGGCCCUCAGUUACUGGGAAAGGAGCAUCCCCUACGUGGAGGUCUUGGCUAGCUCACCAUGAAGUUUAACUUUGUAGCCCUGAGGAAGUGGAGGGGAGGCGGGAGAUAGAGACCCUUAGAAGAAUGAGGCUUCUCUGGACUUUCAAGCUAGAGUCUAGACAUGAAGAUCCUAGGUAAGGUUUCUGUCUUGAGCUCAUGCUAGGCAAGAGCCGGGAGACAGACACUUGUGGGGCCCAGACAGAGUACUGCCAAGGCAGGAGACAGUAGGCUAGGCAAAGGCCAGUGAUUACCUCAGGGAAUGGGAAGCAGACAUUAUGACUGAAGAACCAGCCUCACUCUUCCCUUUAGUCCAAAAGCCCCUUUCCAGGACCUGUCCAUAUGGUGGUGGAGACGGAAGGUGCCCUUAGGGCCAGGAAGGAGCAAUGACCCCAGAUCUAUCUGUACCUGUGGUGAGCUAGCUCAUUUCUUCAGUACCCAGGCUCUACUUCUCUACUAGCGGGCAUAGCUGUGUUCUUCACAGCUAAAUACAGACCCUAGACCUCUUCCACAAACCUCCUACAGUCUCCACAGUCACUUUCUUUUUCUUUCUUUCUUUUUUCUUUUUUUUUGUAUGUGAUGCUGUGAAUGGAAUCUAGGUCAUCUCUCUGCCUGACACAAACACCAGGCUAUACCCUGCUAUUCCCAACUCCAUUCACAGCACAAUAAUGUUUUGUUUUUUGACAGAGUCUUAUUUUAUAGCCCAGGCUGGCCUCAAACUCACAGCAAUUCUUCUGCCUCAGCCUCCCUAGUGCUGAGAUUGCAAUCAUAAACCAUCAUGCCCUGCAACUGAGUUCCUUUGGAAACAUGCCAAGAAAAAUAAAAUAUAAUAAAUAAGAAGAAAAUCUGAAAGAUUGGGCUAAAGUAGGUCAUCCCACUACCCUCCCUUGGACUUUCCCAGGGCCACCUGGAGGACACCCAAGGCUUCAAGAUGGACUUGGGAAGCUGGGAAACACCUUUCAGAAACAGAAUGUCUCAGACAGCUGCUAUGACAGAGUUCCUCACCCAGCUAGCAGCCACUUAAGCUUAGGAGUUGAUCUUUACAGUCACCUCCCAACCCCCACCAGGCCCAGCUGUUGUUUUGACGACUUUGGGGCCAGGCAGAUCCAAUCCUCAGCCAAGGGCUUCCCAGGAGAGUCUUCAUCUUCAACCUCUGGGGGUGGCCAGACUAGCUCCUGGCAGAAGGAGAAGGAAGGAGCCUUAUUCCGGAGGAAGCACUCCUGGGCAGCUUGGAAACCAGCUGACUCCGUCACUCUGUCUCAUCAGGAAAGAAAUCAAAGCUGGACACAGAUGAAGGUUGGAAAACCCCAAGACACCCAACAGACCUGAGCUAGCCGCACACUGGGCUAUGCUUGAGGCCACAAAAUUAGCUCAAUCCUAGUCAUAGGCUGAGCUCUGACCGUGCUGGUUACAGGCUAAGCCACACUGGCAAAACAGUGUGCUAGAUCCUUUAAAGAUCUGGGCAUGGUAGCAUAUUCCUGUAAUUCCAGUACAUGGGAGGCUAAGGCAGGAGGAUCAUGAGUUCUAGACUAACCUGGAUUACAUAGAUUCAUAAAAGUUAAAAUAAAAAAAAGUCUGUUACAACUAGAUUCCAGGUGAAUUAUAAUGAGCAUAUUUUUAAUGUAUUGCUGGGCUUACAAGAACAUAUAUAUCUCAAAAGCCACCUCCCAAAAUUAAACAUUACAAAAACCCAAACCAAUGUACCAGCGAGAUGGUUCAGGGGGUUAAAGUGCUUGCUACCAACUUUGACAACCUGAGCUCCUUCCUUGGAACCCCCAACUCCUAAGAGUUAUCCUCUGAUUUACACAGACACAUUGUUAAAUAUGCACUCCCAUACAUGUACACACACACACACACACACACACACACACACACACACACACACACACGUACUAAGCUGGCCAGUGGUGGCACACACCUUUAAUCCUAUUACUCAGGAGGCAGAGGCCGGCAGAUCUCUGAGUUCAAGACCAGCCUGAUUUACAAAAUGAGUUCCAGGACAGCCAGGGUUACACAGAGAAACCAUGUCUUGGAAAAAAACAAAACAAAACAAAAAAUCAGUAACACAAACAGUAAGAAGCAACCAGGAUAUUGAAGGGAACAGAUAGAAAAGUGAAUUUUCUGCUGGGCGGUGGUGGUGCACGCCUUUAAUCCCAGCACUCGGGAGGCAGAGCCAGGCGGAUCUCCGUGAGUUCGAGGCCGGCCUGGGCUACCAAGUGAGUUCCAGGAAAGGCGCAAAGCUACACAGAGAAACCCUGUCUCGAAAAACCAAAAAAAAAAGUGAAUUUUCUGAACAUAGAGACAGAGAGAAAUCCUGAGUUCUAGGGGGAAAGGUGAGUGAGUACUCUAUAUCAAAGAUUAUGAAACUAGUACCCUAAAAGGGGCCUAGGUUAACUGUUUUCUUUGUCUCUGGUAGAAACUAUCCUAAGACAGUGUCUGGCUUAGGUUUCUAUUGCUGUGAUAAAACAUUACAACCAAAAGCAACUUGGGGGGAAAAAGGGUUUAUUUCAUUUUAUAAUUCUCAGGUCACAUUUCAUCAAUGAAUGAAAUCAAGACAGGACCUGGAGGCAGGAACUGAAGCAAAGGCUAUAGAAGAGUACUGCUUAUUGGAUUAUUCCUCAUGGCUUGCUUAGACUGCUUCCUUUCUUUCUUUCUUUUUUAUUUUCAAGACAGGGUUUCUCUGUGUAGCCUUGGCUGUCCUGGAACUUGACACUCUGUAGACCAGGCUGGCCUUGAACACACAGAGAUCUGUCUGCCUCUGCUUCCCAAGUGUUGGGAUUAAAGGCAUGCACCAUCACUGUCUGGCUCAGUCUGCUUUCUUAUACUACUCAGAACCACAUGCCUAGGGUGACAGGCACCAUUGUAGAUGAUCUUGACCCUCCUACAUCAAUUAUUUUUAUUUAUUGAUUGAUUUAUUUUUGGUUUUUUGAGACAGGGUUUCUCCUUGUAGUUUUGGUGCCUGUCCCGUCCUGGAUCUCGCUCUGUAGACCAGGCUGGCCUCGAACUCACAGAGAUCCGCCUGGCUCUGCCUCCCGAGUGCUGGGAUUAAAGGCGUGCGCCACCACCGCCCGGCCCACAUCAAUUAUUAAUCAAGAAAAUGCUCCACAGUCUAGCCCACAGGCCAAUCUGGUGGCAUUUUCUCAGUUGAGAUUCACUCUUCUCAAAAGACUCUGGCUUGAAUCAAAUUGACAAAAAACUAACCAGGGCAGUUCCUUACAAUCAUCACAGAUAUGGGUUGGCAUUAUAAAUUACCAGGACUUUGAGGAAAGGAACUUGGAGGGCUCAUUCUGUGGUAUAAUAAAUGAUAGAAUUCCUGUUUAAAAUGCUCAAGGCCUAGCCUGGUAUGGUGGCACACAUCUUUAAUCCCAGUACUUGGGAGGCAGAUCCCUAAACUCAAGGCUAGCCUGGUCCACACAUGUAAAAUUUAAAAAAUAAAUCUGUGGGCCGAAGUCAGCCAUGCCACCCAUGCCACCUAGGCACUCUGGGAAGCACAAAGACAACACCACAGCCCUGAGCCCAGCUGGGAGCUAUGGGAAGUGAUAAGCAAAUGGUGGAGUGAUGGGAGAGAAGCAAGAAAUAUGUGGUGGAAAAAUGGAAGAUAAGCAGUUUGUGCUCUAUGAAGUGUGGCAAAACUGGAGACGCAAAGGUGCUUGUUCUUGCUCCUCGGGAAAGGUGAAUUGCACUGCCCAUCAAUUGAGCCAGUAACAAACCCAGGUGCUAGUGAGUCUGUGCCUUCUUCCUUUGAGAAAACUGACCACUGUACAAGUUGCUGUGAUUCCCAGAGCUGCAUCCUAGCCCAGGAGAAGAGCAGCACCUGCAGAAUGGAGACCCACAGCUGACUGGAUUUGUCCUGCUGUAUUUACUUCUCAUCAUUGGCCUAUUUGUUAAUCUCUCGAGCUGGUUGUGGUGGCGGUUCAGCCACGAGAUUGAACAACUCUAUGUUGAACUACAGUUUUACCGUGCUGUGUCUAACUGGCCAGAAAUUUAUUUCCUUUGGAAGCUUUGGGUUGGACAACACUUGAAGACACCCAGAGGCCCUGCCUGCUGCCAUGCAGUGGGCAAAAAGAAGACACCUAGAGACCCUGCCCAACACAUGGCCCGCCCACAGCACAAGCCACUAUGAUGUGCACGUAUGGGGCAGAGAGAUGAGAAAGAAAGAGAAGAAUGGUUUGAACACUAUGAUGAGAGGUGGAUCUGAAGAAGGUGGAGAGAAACAGCCUGAUGUGAGUAGCCUGUGAAGCCACCUGAGACCAUGGUGAAAUCCCAGCUCAUGCUGCCGCUGAGGGCCAUGUCUGGGUCCAUGACCAUGCAGCAGGAGAGGUCUGUGUAGAUGUCCAUGGCCCAUGUCACCACCAAAGGCCUUGUGUAUGUCCCUGGUCUGGACUGCCCCCUGGGAUCAUAUUAAUAUCCAAAAGCUGCACAGAGUUGGCCUCGCCCCUCACUGGCAGCAGCACUAGGGAGAGCGGUCCCUGUACCUCACCUUGGCAGCACAGUAGAGCUGACCCUGAUGGUGGGCCCCAAGGCCAUGAGAGAAGGAGAGCUGGCCCUGCCCUUCAUCUGCCAUUUGGUGGCAUGGGCAAGGGAGAGGUGUCCCCUAACCCUCACUGCCUGUGGCAGGUGGGAAAGCUGGCCCUGCCCCGCACUAGGGAGAGUGGGCUCUGCACCUUGCCUGCGCAGCACAGUAAAGCUGACACUGUUGUUGGGGGAGGGAGGGCAUGAGAGUGAGAGAGCUGGCCUCACUGCCACCUCAUCUGCAUGAGAGAGGGAAAGAUGCCCUUCCUCCAGCUCCCUACCCCUUGCCACCUGCGGCAUGACAGCAGGAGAGCUGACUCUGCCCCUCACCAGCUGCAGCACUCAGGAGGGUGGGCUCUGCAACUCACCUGGGCAACACAGUAGAACUGGCUCUGGUGGUGUGGGUGUGAGUAGGCCGGCCCUAAGGGCCUGAGAGCAGGGGAACUGCCCCUGCCCCUGCUGCCUGCAGCAUUGGGUGAGCUAGCUGGGGCAGUACUGAAGAGCAUGACCUGGUGGUGAGAAUGAGGGAGAGCUGGCAGGCUGACCAAUCCGGCUACUACCCAGAUCCAGAACCAGGGCUAUGAGUUGGCCCACCCCCACAUCCACCCCUUCUAUGAACUGCUGGAGCACGUGAAGGAGCUUGUCCUGCAGACCCAAAGCUGCAGGAUCUCCACGACACAGGCAACAACAGGACAUCCCAGAGGAGUCCCAGUGUGGACCCAGUAUUAACAGUGUAGCAGAAGCCAGAGGCCUCGAACUAGACCAGUGACUCAUUGCAAUGAACACUUGCAAGCAAAGAUAUAUGGACUUAAAGGGCACACUGUGUGACUCACUGUGACACACUACAGCUUCCAUGACGAGUUGGGUUUUUUUCUUUUAUAUUUUAUUUUAUUGGGGGGGGUUUGUAAGG